rnacentral:tRNA from 1 species
AUAAUCAAAGUUUAAUUAUAUUAGAAGAAAUUAUUGAUAAUAAAGAAAUUAAAAUUAUU